rnacentral:rRNA from 1 species
UACGAAGGGGGCUAGCGUUGCUCGGAUUGACUGGGCGUAAAGGGCGCGUAGGCGGUUCGUACAGUCAGACGUGAAAUUCCUGGGCUCAACCUGGGGGCUGCGUUUGAUACGUGCGGACUUGAGUGCGGAAGAGGGUCGUGGAAUUCCCAGUGUAGAGGUGAAAUUCGUAGAUAUUGGGAAGAACACCGGUGGCGAAGGCGGCGACCUGGUCCGAUACUGACGCUGAGGCGCGAAAGUGCGGGGAUCAAACGGG